GAUUGAACGCUGGCGGCAGGCCUAACACAUGCAAGUCGAGCGGCAGCGGGAAGUAGUUUACUACUUUGCCGGCGAGCGGCGGACGGGUGAGUAAUGUCUGGGGAUCUGCCUGAUGGAGGGGGAUAACUACUGGAAACGGUAGCUAAUACCGCAUGACCUCGUAAGAGCAAAGUGGGGGACCUUCGGGCCUCACGCCAUCGGAUGAACCCAGAUGGGAUUAGCUAGUAGGUGGGGUAAUGGCUCACCUAGGCGACGAUCCCUAGCUGGUCUGAGAGGAUGACCAGCCACACUGGAACUGAGACACGGUCCAGACUCCUACGGGAGGCAGCAGUGGGGAAUAUUGCACAAUGGGCGCAAGCCUGAUGCAGCCAUGCCGCGUGUGUGAAGAAGGCCUUCGGGUUGUAAAGCACUUUCAGCGAGGAGGAAGGCAGUCGUGUUAAUAGCACGAUUGAUUGACGUUACUCGCAGAAGAAGCACCGGCUAACUCCGUGCCA
rnacentral:rRNA from 1 species